rnacentral:rRNA from 1 species
GACGAACGCUGGCGGCGUGCUUAACACAUGCAAGUCGAACGGAAAGGCCCUGCUUUUGUGGGGUGCUCGAGUGGCGAACGGGUGAGUAACACGUGAGUAACCUGCCCUUGACUUUGGGAUAACUUCAGGAAACUGGGGCUAAUACCGGAUAGGAGCUCCUGCUGCAUGGUGGGGGUUGGAAAGUUUCGGCGGUUGGGGAUGGACUCGCGGCUUAUCAGCUUGUUGGUGGGGUAGUGGCUUACCAAGGCGUUGACGGGCAGCCGGCCUGAGAGGGUGACCGGGGACAUUGGGACUGAGAUACGGCCCAGACUCCUACGGGAGGCAGCAGUGGGGAAUAUUGCACAAUGGGCGGAAGCCUGAUGCAGCAACGCCGCGUGCGGGAUAACGGCCUUCGGGUUGUAAACCGCUUUCGCCUGUGACGAAGCGUGAGUGACGGUAAUGGGUAAAGAAGCACCGGCUAACUACGUG